ensembl:lncRNA
AGCAAAUACCAAACGUCCAAGAUGAAGCAUCUCCCUCCCCCAAAUAACCAUUACUAACAAUUUUUUGGGUACUCCUCCGGAUCUUUUAAAAUUCGCAUAGAGGCAUAAGAGAUUCGUGGUUUCCUCAUAAAAUAUAUAUUCAUUGGUUUUCGAUACAAAUGGGGUCAGGCAGUCCUCUGUCUUGGCGUUCUCACGCAUGCUCUCUGAGGCUUCUCCUCGCGCCCCAAGAGCGCCCCCGGCUCGGCGCCCGCCCGCACGGUUCAACGCUCUCCCCGGGGUGUUUCCUGUUCCGGGCAGCCCGGGGAGGAGAGCAAAGACCCUAGUUCCCGGUGCGCCGUGGGCAGGCGCGGUCAGCCAUCCUGGUGUGCGUCCACAAUGGGCGCUCAGAGGGAUCUGGGUGGCUAGCAUCAAUCUGAAGUGAUGUCAGAGACAUGGAGUCUGUGUGGCCAGGGAGGCCCGGAAAAGGGCGCUUGGGUACCACACACACACCACCCCAGCCAAGGCAGAAUGACACCUUGAACCAGCUUUGCUGUUCCCCCAUUUCUCCCUCCACUGCUGCUGCUACUGGUUCAAAAAAUAAACACACUCUCCACCAAAAAUAAAAAUUAAUUAAAAUUUAAAAAUGUAAUAUUCUUGGAAUGUAGGUCUUCUCAAACAGGAGCAGCUGCUGCUAGAGCCGAGUCUAGCAGAGGCAGCAGGGGCUUUUUUUCUUAUUAGUGUUUUCAGUUUUUCCCCAGGAGGUGCCUCUGGUUAAAAUGCAUUCCUGGAAUGUGGUCUGCAUGUGCAUGUGGUAAUUAAAGUUGCUAUUUGUUAGUGUUUCCUCUGCCUAUUUGCCUUUUCGUUGGUUUGUAAUCAUCACUGGGAGUUUCUGAGUGACAGGAUGUUACGGUGGAGGAGAGGAGAGGGACACGUCCACAAGGUCAGGAGGAGCUGCCCCUGCCGCCAGGAGCUAGAAGGGCCAGCAGCCAGGGAGGCCAUCUCCUCCGUGGAGCCGCCAUCUGCCGCAGGAACCUGGAGGAACACACCUGCCACGCCAUCCAUCACGUGCGACGGUGCACUGAAGACAUUUUCAGACACACCUUCCUCUUCUGUGCCUUUUCCCGGGGAAACUUUUGGAAGAAGUUUGUAUUUCAUUAAUACAAAGUACAAUACAAGAGCCUCGUAUGUCGUUAGUGCAAGGCCAGAGCUCCCACUAACACUGACAUGGACUGACUUGGACUUUUGGAGACAUGAGGGCUCCAUGCGGACUCCUCACCUGAGCUCGAGGGGACACGGCUCAGGAUGAAGAUGUUACGUAGAUGCACAGGUCCCUCACUCAGGCCUGAGUCACGGCUUUCCCUCCGUGGACCACUGAGCUGAGGAAAUGGAUCCAACCACGCGGGGUUCGAGGAUGUUCCGGAUCUGGCUGUGGCUCUUCAGGCCUCCACUCACAGGACAAGUGGGCAUGACGGUCUGGAGUGUCCUUUAAGGAAGAAUCCCGAGGCUGUCUCUAGGCUCAGCAGGAAAGGGUGCAUGAUGGUACAGGAGUGGUUAUGUGUGGCCAAGGAUGUGCCAUACCUGAUCCACGUGGCCUCUAAGUUCCUGUCCUGACACAUGUUUGUUGCAUCUCUGAUCAUACACCAAGCGCUACAAACGUGGCAGGCCACCUGAGACCACUCUGAGAGACCAGAUAAGGAUCUGGUGGCCCCGGGUCUGCUCCUGGGCCAUUUUUCCUGGAAUCCCAUUUCCUGGAGGAGAAUCUGCAGCCCAGGGGAAGGACCAGGCAGGCGUGCCUUCCAGGCUGUCUCCCACGUUCCCCUCCCCUCCUCCUGGUCCCUUAGGGAGUGGCAGCUGUGAUUCUGUGACAGUUGGCACUGGCAGCUGUCAGAGCUGUUGCGUCUCAUUCCCUAUGCGCUCCUCUUAACGAGAGCCCAUUAAGCCUCCUUUUAUUACCACAUAAUUGUCACGAUUAGAGGGGCUUUGUUCUUUUUACUUUGGAAAUAAAACAGUUUUAAAUCCCUAAAGCAAGAGAGAAG